GCUGAUGUAGCUCAAUUGGCAGAGCGCCUACCUUGUAAGUAGCGGGUUGCAGGUUCAAUUCCUGUCAUCAGCCCCA
rnacentral:tRNA from 1 species